GCUUCAUAGGGAUAGCUCAGCUGGUAGAGCACAAGACUCCAAAUCUCAGGGUUGUAGGUUUGAGCUCCAUGUUGGGCA